UUCGGAUUGUAGGCUGCAACUCGCCUACAUGAAGUUGGAAUCGCUAGUAAUCGCGAAUCAGAAUGUCGCGGUGAAUACGUUCCCGGGUCUUGUACACACCGCCCGUCACACCACGAGAGUUUACAACACCCGAAGUCAGUGGCCUAACCGCAGGGAGGGAGCUGCCUAAGGUGGGGUAGAUGAUUGGGGUGAAGUCGUAACAAGGUAAC
rnacentral:rRNA from 1 species